CCAGCCCAAGAGCCAGAUUCAUACUCAGAAGAGUCAUGCCAUGAAAUUAUAUACCAAGGAUAUCACUGUCACAAGAGCUGUGAGAAUGAUUGCCACAAUUUGUUCUUAGCCAUGUACAACUGCUGCAGAAGCCACUGUGAUACCUGCCUACUAACUGAAAGAGAUGCUUACCCACAGCAGGAAAGGGGAAGUCAGCCAACAGUGAAGAACCAUAAUUUAUAUAAUCCAGCUCGG